GAUCAUGGCUCAGGAUGAACGCUGGCGGCGUGCUUAACACAUGCAAGUCGAACGAAGCAACUUAUUACAAUCCCUUCGGGGUGACGAUUGUGACUGAGUGGCGGACGGGUGAGUAACGCGUGGGUAACCUGCCUUGUACAGGGGGACAACAGUUGGAAACGACUGCUAAUACCGCAUAAGCGCACAGCUUCGCAUGAAGUAGUGUGAAAAGUUUUUCGGUACAAGAUGGACCCGCGUCUGAUUAGCUAGUUGGUGAGGUAACGGCCCACCAAGGCGACGAUCAGUAGCCGACCUGAGAGGGUGACCGGCCACAUUGGGACUGAGACACGGCCCAAACUCCUACGGGAGGCAGCAGUGGGGAAUAUUGCACAAUGGGCGAAAGCCUGAUGCAAGCGACGCCGCGUGAGCGAAGAAGUAUUUCGGUAUGUAAAGCUCUAUCAGCAGGGAAGAUAAUGACGGUACCUGACUAAGAAGCACCGGCUAAAUACGUGCCAGCCGCCGC
rnacentral:rRNA from 1 species